rnacentral:rRNA from 1 species
GUGAGAGUCAACUUAAUGAAUUUAGGGGAAGAAAUAGAAAGAAGGAUACCAAUAAUUAAGAGAACGGACGGAUGAAAUGGGAAAAGUCUUAAAAAGUUGGGCAGUUUUUUUUUAAUUUCAAAAUUAUCGGAAAAAGAAAGGGAUUAGAUACCCCGUUAUUCGAUGUUAAAUUCAACCCUUAGUAGUAGUAGUUACAGACUUGAAACUAAAAAAAAAUGGCGGUAUUACAGUCUAGUUGGAGGAACUUGUUUCAUAAUCGAUAAUCCGCGUACAAUGUUCUACCCCUUUGACGUUUGUAUACCGUUGUCGUCAGAAAAUUUUUAUUAAAAAAUUUUCGAAGGUUCAGGGUCUGCCUGAAGUCAAAUCAAGGUGCAGCUAAUGGGGUAGAGAGAGUGAGUUACAAUAAAUUAAAUUUAUUACGGAGUUCGUUUGUAAUAACGAAGGAAGGUGGAUUCAAACGUAAGCUUUUACUAUAGCGGAAAGCUGAGUGAAGCUCUGAAAUAUGCACACAUCGCCCGUCGCUCUCAUAACAAUAUUGAG